UACGGAGGGAGCUAGCGUUGUUCGGAAUUACUGGGCGUAAAGCGCACGUAGGCGGUUCGUUAAGUCGGAUGUGAAAGCCCUCGGCUCAACUGAGGAAGUGCACCCGAAACUGGCGAGCUUGAGUACGAAAGAGGAUCGCGGAAUUCCCGGUGUAGAGGUGAAAUUCGUAGAUAUCGGGAGGAACACCGGUGGCGAAGGCGGCGAUCUGGGUCGAUACUGACGCUGAGGUGCGAAAGCGUGGGGAGCAAACAGG
rnacentral:rRNA from 1 species